rnacentral:other from 1 species
CUUAUCCUGCCGUGUGCGACUGCUUGUCAGUUUUUCAACCACGGAUGUAAUACGGGAGCCCAGGUUCAUAAGUAGAUGACAGGCCAUCUGCUGGUGGAAGUCAAAAGUUUGUGACCAGGCACCCACCUGGGAGAGGUGGGUUUGAAAAAACGAUGAGUGACGGCACGGUGGGGCAGUU